GACGAACGCUGGCGGCGUGCUUAACACAUGCAAGUCGAACGGAAAGGCCCCUUUGGGGGUACUCGAGUGGCGAACGGGUGAGUAACACGUGAGUAACCUGCCCUUGACUUCGGGAUAACUUCAGGAAACUGGGGCUAAUACCGGAUAGGAAUCCUUGCUGCAUGGUGGGGGUUGGAAAGCUUCGGCGGUUUUGGAUGGACUCGCGGCUUAUCAGCUUGUUGGUGGGGUAGUGGCUUACCAAGGCUUUGACGGUAGCCGGCCUGGGAGGGCGACCGGCCACAUUGGGACUGAGAUACGGCCCAGACUCCUACGGGAGGCAGCAGUGGGGAAUAUUGCACAAUGGGCGGAAGCCUGAUGCAGCAACGCCGCGUGCGGGAUGACGGCCUUCGGGUUGUAAACCGCUUUCAGCAGGGGCGAAGCUUGUGGUGACGGUACCUGCAGAAGAAGCACCGGCUAACUACGUG
rnacentral:rRNA from 1 species